GAUGAACGCUAGCGGCAGGCUUAACACAUGCAAGUCGAGGGGUAGAGGUUGCUUGCAACCUUGAGACCGGCGCACGGGUGCGUAACGCGUAUGCAAUCUGCCUUGUACUGAGGGAUAGCCCAGAGAAAUUUGGAUUAAUACCUCAUAGUAUAUAACCUUCGCAUGUUGGUUAUAUUAAAGUUCCAACGGUACAAGAUGAGCAUGCGUCCCAUUAGUUAGUUGGUAAGGUAACGGCUUACCAAGACGAUGAUGGGUAGGGGUCCUGAGAGGGAGAUCCCCCACACUGGUACUGAGACACGGACCAGACUCCUACGGGAGGCAGCAGUGAGGAAUAUUGGUCAAUGGGCGCAAGCCUGAACCAGCCAUGCCGCGUGCAGGAUGAAGCAUCUAUGGUGUGUAAACUGCUUUUAUACGGGAAGAAACACUCCUACGUGUAGGAACUUGACGGUACCGUAAGAAUAAGGAUCGGCUAACUCCGUGCCAGCCGCCGCGGUAAAAC
rnacentral:rRNA from 1 species